AUUGAACGCUGGCGGCAUGCCUUACACAUGCAAGUCGAACGGUAACGGGCCUUCGGGUGCCGACGAGUGGCGCACGGGUGCGUAAUACAUCGGAACGUGCCCGAUCGUGGGGGAUAACGAGGCGAAAGCUUUGCUAAUACCGCAUACGAUCUACGGAUGAAAGCAGGGGACCGCAAGGCCUUGCGCGGACGGAGCGGCCGAUGGCAGAUUAGGUAGUUGGUGGGAUAAAAGCUUACCAAGCCGACGAUCUGUAGCUGGUCUGAGAGGAUGAUCAGCCACACUGGGACUGAGACACGGCCCAGACUCCUACGGGAGGCAGCAGUGGGGAAUUUUGGUCAAUGGGCGCAAGCCUGAUCCAGCCAUGCCGCGUGCAGGAUGAAGGCCUUCGGGUUGUAAACUGCUUUUGUACGGAACGAAAAGCCUUCUUUUAAUACAGGAGGGUCAUGACGGUACCGUAAGAAUAAGCACCGGCUAACUACGUG
rnacentral:rRNA from 1 species